rnacentral:rRNA from 1 species
UACGUAGGGGGCAAGCGUUAUCCGGAUUUACUGGGCGUAAAGCGCGUGUAGGCGGUUGCGCAAGUUGGUUGUGAAAUCUCCCGGCUCAACCGGGAAACUGCAGCCAAAACUGCGCGGCUAGAGUGGCAGAGAGGAAAGUGGAAUUCCCGGUGUAGUGGUGAAAUGCGUAGAUAUCGGGAGGAACACCAGUGGCGAAGGCGACUACCUGGCCUGUUCUUGACGCUGAGGCGCGAAAGCUAGGGGAGCAAACGGG